GAAAGAGUUUGGGAUGGAGAGAGGAGAAACUUGAGGUCUCUGGGAGUUGCUUGAACCAACUGACAGUAACCUGGCCAGAGAAUUCUGAUAGUAUCUUCUCUCCUUCUCCCAAACAG
rnacentral:miRNA from 1 species